GUGACAAAAAUCAAAACAUCUACUGUCUUAUAAAAUUUGAAAGUUUAAAAGUUGAUUUUUAUUAUACUUCAUUUUAUGUGCAGGAACUGUGAAUAUACAAGUGAACUUACAGUGUGCAUCACACAUUGCCCCUGUGCAACUCACCUGAAACUAAUCGGUGGAAAUCAUCAGAAGGCAUUUCUGACCACUUCCUCAUCACACCACUGUUCCACACUAUAACUGAACUCGCCUUUCGGAUACUGGUCACAGCUCUCACUGGAUUCACGCUCCAAUCUCCAGGAAGGAAAUCCUCACCACGCUCACCAACAUCCCCUCCUGCCACCAUAGUUCACAGGGAGCCCUAAUAUUUAGGUCCGCUCAUCUACUCUGCACCCCACUCGCCACUCGGACCUUUGCCUCCCCCUCCAAGCCUAAUUCUCCACCUGCAAAGCAAGCCACGCAGAAACCUCAUUACAGCUAUUUUCCCUGGACAAAUCCAUGAACUAAUCCCCUUUUCCUCUCUCCUCAGUGUGACCUCUAGAUUACCACGCCACCAGCGACACCCUGAGCUCCACAUUCUUAGGCCACCAUGCUAGGUUACCUUACCAUGAAUCCCUUGUGAAGUAUAGCUCUGUGUUUUCUUGUAUCAAAUGAAGUUUUGUGUCAAUUUAACUCUGCCAUGUCCGCACUUGGUUCAGCACUAAAAGUUUCAGACUAGUUUCAGUAAUUGUGCAAAUGUACUGUUUAAAAGGUUGGGAAACCUGCAGUCAGAGGAGACUGAGACUAUGACCCCCACUAUGACCCUCCCCCCCGCCUAAUCCAAUGCUCCAGAUGGAAAAUCCCCAGACACUCACUUGGCUCAUGACAAACCUAGUUGCUAUUUGUUCUAACAAAUGAGAAAACUAUGCAAUAGUGAUCAGAGAUACAAUCUACAACAUUUGCAAUGGUGACAUUGAGACUUCUGGAAAAUAAAAAUAUCAAAUGUAUGAUAUUUUGUAUGUAUGGGUCCAUUCACAUUGUUGUUUAAAAUCACAUGAUGAACUGUUUCACGUCAGAGUUGC
ensembl:lncRNA